rnacentral:rRNA from 1 species
AACUUUCAACAACGGAUCUCUUGGCUCUCGCAUCGAUGAAGAACGCAGCGAAAUGCGAUAAGUAAUGUGAAUUGCAGAUUUUCAGUGAAUCAUCGAAUCUUUGAACGCACCUUGCGCUCCUUGGCAUUCCGAGGAGCAUGCCUGUUUGAGUGUCAUUAUAACCUCAA